UACAGAGGUCUCAAGCGUUGUCCGGAAUUAUUGGGCGUAAAGAGCUCGUAGGCGGCUUGUCACGUCGGAUGUGAAAGCCCGGGGCUUAACCCCGGGUCUGCAUUCGAUACGGGCAGGCUAGAGUUCGGUAGGGGAGAUCGGAAUUCCUGGUGUAGCGGUGAAAUGCGCAGAUAUCAGGAGGAACACCGGUGGCGAAGGCGGAUCUCUGGGCCGAUACUGACGCUGAGGAGCGAAAGCGUGGGGAGCGAACAGG
rnacentral:rRNA from 1 species